rnacentral:lncRNA from 1 species
GGGGCAUUAAGGCCUAGUUUUGGCCCAAGAAAAUAAAAUGUUUGAUAACCAUUUCAAAUUGGCACAUAAUGUUUAGAAAUGCAUCGGGUCAAGAAAUAUAAAUGAAAAACAUAAAGAUUUUUUUCUGAUGACGUCACAAUUACGUCAUAAUAUGUACUGUUUUCACAAAAACGAUGAAAAUACAGAAUUUAUGCAGUUUUCUAUCUUUAUUUCCGUUGUGGAAACAUCCUGCGCAGCCAAGAAACAACAAAAUAAUUUAACAGAAGCUUUAUUAUAACUAUUGC